GAAGUGCGACAAGUGUCAUGACUUGCAGAUUCCCGAGAGCUGACAAAUUUCUGAAUGCAAAUGGCGGCCGCCAACACCGGCCAUGUAUUGCAGAGUGUAGUUGUUCCUACGCAUCAUCCCUCCACAAUCCAUUGCUCGAUUGUGGCCUUGGGGACCUGCGCUUGCGACCCUCUGCGCGAGCGUGAAAAAGAGGAGCAUCGAGCCGGCUUGCUCGACUCGAUGACUUCGGAAGCAAACCUUCCAGGAGUUGCAUGCUCCCUCUUCUACUUUCGACAGCCACCUCUGCGAUGCAGGAGAACCCGCUGAACUUAA
rnacentral:misc_RNA from 1 species